AAACAGCGGACCUGGCAACCCGCUACGUCGCGCUGAACAGUACCACUCUCCUCCUCCUCCUCCUCUUCUCCUUCCAGACCUUUCCAUCCUCCACAUCUCCGUGCGGAGGCUCUGAAUCGCAGUUUGUCGACGGAUCCAAAGUGGGAGGCACUGGGGAGACUGGCCACAAGGUGGCGCGUGUCCAUUCUGGUCUUUGGAAAUUAAGGGUGCACCGAUCAGGAAUUUUGGGACCGAUCACCGAUUGAUGGACGCAGUAUCGUGUUGAUGCAGAUCAGCGAUCAAAAGGACGUUUCUUUACUUUAUUGUCAUCUGAACUUGUUAGUUAUUAGUGGGUUUAGUUGAGUUUAGUGUUGAAAUGUUAAGAGAAUAAACAGUAAGGGUUAGGGGCACUUCUGUGUCUCACUAUUUGUAGUGAUGUUUUUGUGUAUUUGUAUACUUUUCACAAACAGAUAAUCCCAAAUGACAAACUGAAUGUUCUACUUCUUCUCCUGCUGUUAAAGCUGUUUAUUAAACAGUACUGAGGAGAGAGAUAACAAUCACUGGCUGACCUCUCUACACGAGAGCUAACGUUGUGAGAAUUGUCCCACGUCACCGGUCCUUCUAUCCCCUCAGUCACAAACAGCUCAGUAACAGGAUCUUUGCUAAAAUGUUGUGAUGGUUAAACCAAGUGGCUGCUGAAAAUCUGUGUUGAUAUAAGAAAGUUAGUUAGCUGUUAGCAGCCAGUGAGCAGCAGAGUCCUGUGGUGUGUGUUAAGCAGCACAUAGAGAAACUGUCUCCUGUGUUUUUCUGGUUGCGUCUUCCGAUGGGUUAGCGCAACCAAGAUGUCCAUUGUGGUCAUUGGAAAUAGUCGUGGUCAACCGUUGUAAACUGACUGAAAAAGCCUGAAUUACACUUAUUUUAAUAAAGGCACAUUUUUAUCACCUUGAAAA